rfam:Dipodomys ordii contig_7372, whole genome shotgun sequence.
GGGAAGGUGGCUCAGUGGUAGAGCGCUUGCCUUGCAUGCAUGAGGCCCUGGGUUUG